ACCUUGAAAUUUAUAUUGCAUUAGAAAUUUCCGACAUUAGAAUGACUCGUGCACAUAUGCUCUACGACAACAGACCGUUGGAAUCGAUUCCUGUUACUCCAAUUAGAUGGGAAAAACGUUGGGAACCGGAAGAGUUAUUUCGCUGGCAAAGGACUGGCGGCAUUAUAGUAGAGGGUAAAGUAUAUGGCCGACUAAGAUUUACCGUAUCAGAUCCCUUCUCGGGUUCUCAGAAGUGGCGCUAUGUAGUGCUACAUAUAGAGAUCUCAAAAGCCCUGAAGAGGAAGUUUGAUUCCCUCACCGGGAAGGAAAUUGACCCUAACUAUGGAAAGGACAAGAAAGUUAGCACUGGUUAUCUAAUGUCUUCUUACAAGACAUCUGCUUCCACAGAUUCUGAUAAAAUUGAUGCAGCUGAGGCAAAAAGAAUGAUAACAGUGACAGAGUUGACCAGACUGACAGAAAACAAACUUCCAGAGACUGGAAAUGUGAUCAGUCAAGCAUUCUGGUGUGCAGAGGAAGACAUUGAGAAAAUGGAACUACUUCAAGGGGAUCCCAUCAGAUUAAAGACUAAAGGAGAAGGUCCAUUCAUUGCAUUGUCACACCAAGUCUUUUAUAACCAAACCAAAUUGGUUUACAAUAUGAUAAUGUUACUUAUGACAGAAAUGAAAGUAUUCUCAAUUCUCCUUCCUCGUGACAGAGUUUAUAGUCAAACUCAACAAUGCAGGUAGUGCAACAGCUGCAAAUUACACUGGAGGUGAAGGAGCAGGCAGCUCCUGGACAGACAAGGUGAUGUCUUUCAAAGGACAGCAAGAUGUUCCACAAGAUGAAGGAGAUGGUGCUGAGGAUGAUGAGUGGGAUGACUGAGUAUUACUGAGAUGGAUCAAUGCUACAUUGUAAGUCAUGUUAGCCAUGAUAGGUUACUACAGUUAUUGCAGGUACUGUCAGCUACCUGCUUUUUUUUGCAUCAGAUGAAGAUGUCACAGAGAUGAGGUACUUCAAGAAAACCCUGUUGCAAAUUUGUUUAAAGGGUGUUGAUGGUUGGAUGAAACACCAAGAAAAUAAACACUAAACUACUAUUUAAACCCUUUUGGAUCGGAUCUAAACCUAAACUUAUCUUGAAAUCCUUCUGAAUGGCUAUGGAACUUGAGAGAACCAUGAAAACACUCUGCUACUGAAUUAUACAACACUUUAAAAUAACUACUAAUUACAGAUGAAGCUAUUUUGGCAAAGAAUGUCACUGGGUCACAUAUGUUAUGCAACAACAACAAAAAUUAUUAUGUAAGUGUCAUUGUUCUAUUUUUUUACAAGUUCUUGAUCACCUUCCUCACAGUCCUUUUUUGUAAUCAAAGUCUUUUAUACACAUGAUGAUGAAACUAGAUGUAUUUUGAAUUCAUUGGCUGUAUUUUACAGAUUUCUGAUUACAAUUUUUUUUGUCAUCGGAUUUCUUACAUUUAACCCUAAGAAUGGUAAGAAACAAUGUAAUAAGUACAUUGUAUUACUAAGUUAAACAUAACAGGAAAAUGGAAUAAUUGAAAUCCCAUGAAAUGGGUUUGUAAUGACUGAAACAGAGCAAGUGAUAUUGUGUUACAUUUAAUUCAAUAAACACAGUGA